GACGAACGCUGGCGGCGUGCUUAACACAUGCAAGUCGAACGGAAAGGCUCCAGCUUGCUGGCGUACUCGAGUGGCGAACGGGUGAGUAACACGUGUGUAAUCUGCCCUUCACUCUGGGAUAUGCCUGGGAAACUGGGUCUAAUACUGGAUAUGAUCUUUCUCCUUAUGGGGUUUGGUGGAAAGUGUUUCUGUUUAGGCUGGUUCCGCGGCCUAUCAGCUGGUUGGUGGGGUGGUGGCCUACCAAGGCUACGACGGGUAGCCGGCCUGAGAGGGCAAUCGGCCACAUUGCGACUGCGAUACGGCCCAGACUGCUACGGGAGGCAGCGGUGGGGAAUAUUGCACAAUGGGGGGAAGCCUGAUGCGGCGACGCCGCGUGAGGGAUGACGGCCUACGGGUUGUAAACCACUUACAGAAGGGCCGAAGCGUAAGUGACGGUACCUGCAGAAGAAGCACCGGCUAACUACGUG
rnacentral:rRNA from 1 species